rnacentral:rRNA from 1 species
UACAGAGGUCCCAAGCGGUUGUUCGGAUUCAUUGGGCGUAAAGGGUGCGUAGGUGGCAUGGUAAGUCGGAUGUGAAAUCCCGGGGCUCAACCCCGGAACUGACAUUCGAUACUGCUGCGCUAGAGUACUGGAGAGGAGAUUGGAAUUUACGGUGUAGCAGUGAAAUGCGUAGAUAUCGUAAGGAAGACCAGUGGCGAAGGCGGAUCUCCUGGACAGUUACUGACACUGAGGCACGAAGGCCAGGGGAGCAAACGGG